AUGAGAAUCAUCUCUUUCUACAUUAACCAUUAGAGAAUCACCUACCACCCCUCCUAUAUCUGAACUUGGGACUAGCUAUAUAUCUAACACAUGCUAUACACAUACCUAAAUGGAGUUGAGUUGUUUCUUGGUUUGAUUGUGAGAUGCAAUUCAAUCCUAGUUGCUAUGUCUGUAGAACUUCUCGUUGAUGCCUAUGAAAUCUUAAGUGUGAAGCUAACAUGCUUUAACAGAUGGGAGCGUUGUCUAUCUAAGAAAUAAGUAGAGGAUGUAAAGUUGGACAUAAAUAUAAAGAGAUGUUUCCCUUUUUUUUUUCCCUCUUCUUUUUUCCCCUCGAGAAAGGGAGAAGAGUGGAGAAAGAAUAAAUGUAUAAUUACCUGAUGGAACUCUACAAGUAGAUC
rnacentral:misc_RNA from 1 species